AAAUCUUCUGGGCUUAACUCAGAGGCUGCUUCCGAAACUGCCGUGCUAGAGUGCGAGAGAGGCAAGUGGAAUUGCGGGUGUAGCGGUGAAAUGCGUAGAUAUCCGCAGGAACAUCCGAGGCGAAAGCGGCUUGCUGGAUCGCAACUGACGCUGAGGGACGAAAGCUAGGGGAGCAAACAGGAUUAGAUACCCUGGUAGUCCUAGCCCUAAACCAUCACGACUUGGGGUUUGUCCUGUACGGGGCAAGUCCCGGAGCUAACGCGUUAAGUCGUGCGCCUGGGGAGUACGGUCGCAAGACUGAAACUCAAAGGAAUUGACGGGGGCCCGCACAAGCGGUGGAACAUGUGGUUCAAUUCGACGCAACGCGAAGAACCUUACCUGGGCUUGAACCGCACAGGACCCUCCCUAGAAAUAGGGACUUCCCGCAAGGGACCUGUGUAGAGGUGCUGCAUGGCUGUCGUCAGCUCGUGCCGUGAGGUGUUGGGUUAAGUCCCGCAACGAGCGCAACCCUUACUCAUAGUUGCUACCCGCAAGGGAGAACUCUAUGAGGACUGCUCCGGAUAACGGAGAGGAAGGUGGGGAUGAGGUCAAGUCAGCAUGGCCUUUAUGUCCAGGGCUACACACGUGUUACAAUGCGCGCUACAAAGUGUCGCGAACCCGCGAGGGGGAGCUAAUCGCAAAAAAGCGCGCUCAGUUCGGAUUGCAGUCUGCAACUCGACUGCAUGAAGCCGGAAUCGCUAGUAAUGGCGUAUCAGAUCGACGCCGUGAAUACGUUCCCGGGCCUUGUACACACCGCCCGUCACAUCACGAAAGUGGGUUGUACUAGAAGUCGUCGUGCCAACCGCAAGGAGGCAGAUGCCCAAGGUAUGACUCAUGAUUGGGGUGAAGUCGGAAC
rnacentral:rRNA from 1 species